rnacentral:tRNA from 1 species
GACAUCUUAACUAUAUAAAGUAUAUAUUUUGAAAAUAUAAAAAAGAUCUAUCUAUUUGUCU